rnacentral:rRNA from 1 species
UACGUAGGGUGCGAGCGUUAAUCGGAAUUACUGGGCGUAAAGUGUGCGCAGGUGGCUUCGCAAGUCGAGUGUGAAAGCCCUGGGCUCAACCCAGGAAGUGCACUCGAAACUGGCAGGCUAGAGUACUGGAGAGGUUGGUGGAAUUCUCGGUGUAGAGGUGAAAUUCGUAGAUAUCGAGAGGAACACCGGUGGCGAAGGCGGCCAACUGGACAGAUACUGACGCUGAGACUCGAAAGCGUGGGGAGCAAACAGG